rnacentral:rRNA from 1 species
AAAUUGAAGAGUUUGAUCAUGGCUCAGAUUGAACGCUGGCGGCAGGCCUAACACAUGCAAGUCGAACGGUAACAGGAAUCAGCUUGCUGAUUCGCUGACGAGUGGCGGACGGGUGAGUAAUGUCUGGGAAACUGCCUGAUGGAGGGGGAUAACUACUGGAAACGGUAGCUAAUACCGCAUAAUGUCGCAAGACCAAAGAGGGGGACCUUCGGGCCUCUUG